rnacentral:rRNA from 1 species
UACGGAGGGUGCGAGCGUUGUCCGGAAUCAUUGGGCGUAAAGGGCGCGUAGGUGGCCCGGUCAGCGUGCGGUGAAAGCUCGGGGCUCAACCCCGAGUCGGCCGUGCGAACUGCUGGGCUGGAGCACUGUAGAGGCAGGCGGAAUUCCGGGUGUAGCGGUGGAAUGCGUAGAGAUCCGGAAGAACACCGGUGGCGAAGGCGGCCUGCUGGGCAGUGGCUGACACUGAGGCGCGACAGCGUGGGGAGCGAACAGG